AUGUGUGGCUCCUUCUCGUGGGAGCCGGCCGCCGUGGAGGUCAAAGGUUCUAGAGAGCAACACGCGGCGGCGCCAAAGAUCCGUGUCUGGAGCCAUUUGUUUGCCGGUGCGGAGAAGCAUGAUUUCUGCAUGGUGCGAUGUGAACGUCGUCGGAGCAGAGAUGAUUGGAGAGCUUGUGAGCGGAGAGGUUUGGACGGCGGCGGAGUCAUGCUUAAAAAGCGAACUGAUGGGAAGCCGACUUUAAUGCGGCGGCGGAGUAGGCUUCUCGGACACCGCAUCAACAUUGAAAUGGUGCGCCUGCUUGUUCGUUCACAUCGCUCUGACCGACAUUAA
rnacentral:rRNA from 1 species